UUUAUUUAUUUAUUUUUGUAGAGAUGGGAUCUUGCUAUGUGGCCCAGGCUGGCCUCAAACUCCUGGCCUCAAGAUAUUUCCCCCUGCCUUGGCCUCUCAAAGUGAAUCUACUUGGAGAGAGUCAAACACAGAAUCCCUUUGAAUUUAAUGGCCAUUCCAGGUGAUUUGAACAGCCAAAUAAGAAACAGGUCCUCUUCAAUGUACAAUCUGCCAAGUAUGAAGUCUGAAUGACCAUCAUUAUUAUGUAUUUAAUGUGCAUAGAAAAUCUAUCUGCAACCUUCCAGAGUGUACCAGAAGUUUGGAAUGUACAUUAUUAUUGGCUCCAUCUCAAACCACUCAUAAAUCAAAGAAAAUAGCAGUUCCAGAGGAAUCAUCAUAGAGGCUUCUAGGCCCCCAUGCUGUGUGAACCUGGUGAGAAAGGGAAGUCUGCUCUCACUGGACACUGGAACUGUUUGUCUCUGUCUCUGCUGUACUUUCCCUGCCUCUACCUCACUUAGUAAAGAAAUCAUCUUUGCUUGAUAACUAAAACAACCAAUAAGGCUGAGAAAGGGGAAAACCCACAUCUGGAUUUAAAUACAAGGUAUUGGGCCAGCUGCUGGGGAUUAAACUUUGAACAAAACAGAUAGAAUCUAUGUCCUCAUGGGAGUGGCUAAUGGGAGAGUCGGAACAAAAAAAUAGCCAAGGAUAAUCCAGCAAAUGAUUUGGUGAAUGCUAUCAAAGAGAGAAAUACACAUG
rnacentral:lncRNA from 1 species